rnacentral:rRNA from 1 species
CUACGGGAGGCAGCAGUGGGGAAUAUUGCACAAUGGAGGAAACUCUGAUGCAGCAACGCCGCGUGCGGGAUGACGGCCUUCGUGGUUGUAAACCGCUUUCAGUAGGGACGAAAAUGACGGUACCUGCAGAAGAAGUCCCGGCUAACUACGUGCCAGCAGCCGCGGUAAUACGUAGGGGACAAGCGUUGUCCGGAUUCAUUGGGCGUAAAGAGCUCGUAGGCGGUCUAGUAAGUUGGGUGUGAAAGCUCCGGGCUCAACCCGGAGAGGUCACCCAAAACUGCUAUGACUAGAGUCCAGUAGAGGAGCGUGGAAUUCCUGGUGUAGCGGUGAAAUGCGCAGAUAUCAGGAGGAACACCAGCAGCGAAGGCGGCGCUCUGGGCUGGAACUGACGCUGAGGAGCGAAAGCAUGGGUAGCAAACAGGAUUAGAAACCCGUGUAGUCC